AUUGAACGCUGGCGGCAGGCCUAACACAUGCAAGUCGAGCGGAGCGGCGGACGGGUGAGUAAUACCUAGGAAUCUGCCUGGUAGUGGGGGAUAACGUUCGGAAACGGACGCUAAUACCGCAUACUAUCAGAUGAGCCUAGGUCGGAUUAGCUAGUUGGUGAGGUAAUGGCUCACCAAGGCUACGAUCCCUAACUGGUCUGAGAGGAUGAUCAGUCACACUGGAACUGAGACACGGUCCAGAAUCCUACGGGAGGCAGCAGUGGGGAAUAUUGGACAAUGGGCGAAAGGCUGAUUCAGCCAUUCCGGGUGUGUGAAGAAGGUCUUCGGGUUUGAAAGCUCUUUUAGGUGGGAGGCGUUACCGACAGAAAAAGCACCGGCUAACUCCGGGCCAGCCGCCGCGGUAAUUC
rnacentral:rRNA from 1 species